AUCCAACUGACGAGUCCCAAAUAGGAUAAAACGCUCGUCCUAGAU
rnacentral:hammerhead_ribozyme from 1 species